CCUUGCGUCUUGCGUGCGUCCGGCCCCCGCGCUCUCGGAGCGGCUGGAGAGCUCACACCGGCUUCUCUGCAACCUUGGCCCGCGCGCCGCCAUCGCCGUCAUGCUGGGUACAGCUCUCCGCCGCUGCGCGGUAGCAGCCACUGCCCGUGCUAUGCCCCGCGGCUUCCUACAGUCCCCCGCGACCCUCAGCCCCGUCGCCGCUGUCCUGUCAGCUCGCUGCUAUUCCCAUGGGUCACAUGAGACAGAUGAGGAGUUUGAUGCUCGCUGGGUGACAUACUUCAACAAGCCAGACAUAGAUGCCUGGGAGUUGCGUAAAGGGAUGAACACACUUGUUGGCUAUGAUCUGGUUCCCGAACCCAAAAUCAUUGAUGCUGCUUUGCGGGCAUGCAGACGGUUAAAUGAUUUUGCUAGUGCUGUUAGGAUCCUAGAGGUGGUUAAGGACAAAGCAGGACCUCAUAAGGAAAUCUACCCCUAUGUCAUCCAGGAACUGAGACCAACUCUGAAUGAACUGGGAAUCUCCACUCCAGAGGAGCUGGGCCUUGAUAAAGUGUAACCCACAGGCUAGCCUUUAACUCCCAGCAAUCCUCCUGCAUCAGUCAACUGAGGACAGUGAUUGUAGACGGGCUUCCUCCUCAAGGAUUUCUUGACUGUGCUACUUGAUUGUAAUUGUAAACAAUCGCCUGGAAAUGCUGAUGAUAACAUAUUACCUUAUUUGAACAAGUUUUCCUUUAUUGAGUACCAAGCCAUGUGAUUGAUGGUAACCUGGACUUUAAUAAAUGGGAAAUGAGUUCGAACCGA